CUUAAUUUCCCUAUUUUUUCAUAAGCAAUGACUAUUGGAGUUGCAUAAUCUUGAAUUUGUUAGCAAGACAACUGUGUUUUGAGUAUGAAAAUUGGAUAUUUCUACUUUUUUGGACCCGCAUUAUAGGUUUGUGGAGUGCAUAGGUGUGGGUGUCCAAGAAAUGUUUCUAGGUUGUUAUCGGGUAUUCAGAUUCGAUUGAUUUUUUUUUUUUCCAAGUUUGACCUCAAAUAUGGCUUUAUGCUAAUUUUGUUUAUGAGUUCAACUCCUGAUUUAUCUACUUAACCUGAAAUAUUUUAUCUUCAAGUUAGGGAUAAUAAGUUUAUUGGGUUGUUAUUUUUUUUUUUUUUUUAUUUAAUUUUUUUUCGUCCUACAUCCACCUAAUUUUUUAUUGCCUGCGAGGGGCGGACCUUUAGAGGGGGCUACACUGGGCCUGGCCACUGGUAACUUUUGGAAAAAAAAUUUAAGGCCCAAUAAAAAAAAUAAAAAAAAAAAGAAAAAGCUGAAAGUUUCGAAAGAACAGAAACACUGAAAGUCUAAAACAGCAAAGAUGAAACAUUGAAACUCAUUAACCCAAGAAAAGAAGUGCUCGUCCAGUAGAUCGAUCUCAUCGUCCUCAAGUCACCAGUCGCCUCACCGUCGCGGCGUCGCUGCCUGCCAGCCUCACGGAGUUACGGCCUCAGUCUUCAAUUGUUCUUUGCUUAAUUGCUUACGCUUUUCGUUGAAUCCGUUCGACCUUCAACUUCAACCGUUCUUCAAUAGUUCAAUUCGGUCAUCAAUUCGUUGCCUCAAUCCAUGAAUCAGGAUAGGAAGGAUUGAAGGAAAGCUCGCUGCCGCGUUGAUUGCAAUCUCCAACCUUUAACAGCCCAAGCCAAGGUUAUCAAUUCGGUGGUUGUGGCUCCAACUGUUGUUGCAAAUAUUGCUCGAGAUUGGUGUUGUGCAAAUGUUGCUUGUGAUUAUCUUCUCUCUUGAGAAAUGCUCAUCAGUUGCUCUGCUUGUGAUUUGCUAUGCUUAGUUUUAAAAAAACCCAUUUCUUUUACAUUCUGGCUUACUGUAAUACUGAUAUCGUUCGCCAAUAUUUCUUCCAGUACGUGAGAAAAAUAUCUAUUUUUGGUCACCAUGUAUUUCUUGAUUGAUCUAUUUGAGUCAUGGUUGUAUAAAUAUGAUAUACUAAUUAAUUUGUGCUAUUAUUCAUGCUUUAGAUGUCGAUAGUCCUAUUACAAUAAUUUAUAAUAAAAAUGGAGUUAAUUUAUAAGAGAAUUCGAUUUGUAACA